ensembl:lncRNA
CUUGGAAAGUGAAUUUGAAGUGACAGUUUAAGGAUGAGAAUGACUGGCAGGGAUGGUUGUGUAAGGCAGAGAACAUGUCUAGACAAAGUUUGGAGGUGGGUGGAACUGGCUGGUGUGCUUGGGGAGUGGCAACUUGGCCACCAUGGUGGCAGCUCAGGAUGCACAUGGGAAGGCAUAAUGGAUUGUGGAAGGAUUUGAUGCUGUAUUGAGGAAUUUGGAUUUCUUACUCUAACCAUUGGGGAACUAUUCAAGGGUUUUGAGGUGGGGACUGAUGGGUUAAUUAUAUAUUCCAAGAGAAUAAUAUUGUCAGCAAUGAAAAAUAUUUGUUGGAGAAGGGAAAUACUGGGGUCAGGAAGAGGCAUUAAGAGAGAAGAGAAGAUGAGGACCUGAACUAGGGCAGAGGCCAGGCAGAUCUGAAAGACCGGCCUUUUCAGAUGGGGACAAUUAUCUGUGUUUGACUUCUUUUUUUUUUUUUUUUUAACAUAUUUAUUUAUUUAUUUAUUGAGGAAGAUUAGCCCUGAGGUAACAUCUGCUGCCAAUCCUCCUCUUUUUGCUGAGGAAGACUGGCCCUGAGCUAACAUCCGUGCCCAUCUUCCUCUACUUUAUAUGUGGGAUGCCUACCACAGCAUGGCAUGCCAAGCGGUGCCAUGUCCACACCUGGGAUCCGAACCGGCAAACCCCGGGCCACCAAAGCAGAAACGUGAACUUCACUGCUGCUCCACUGGGCCAGCCCCUGUGUUUGACUUCUUUCAUCAAGAUCAGGAGUGGCAAACUAUGGCCCAUGCACCAAUUUCAGCUGAUCACCUAUUUUUGAUCUCUGAGCCAUCAUCUUUCAACAAGAGGCCUGGGUGACUGCCAAUCAAGAGAAGCAAGCCAUAUGUAUUAAGACUGUUUGAAUAGAGGAAAGAAGCAGAAGUUUCAUGUAAGUUCCAAAUUGAAAGUGACAAGGGCGGAUGCUUCAAUUUACAGGCAAUGAUUUGCAAAUGAGCUAUUUUAUACGCAGGCAACUCUAGGUAAUGUGCUUCAGGGCGUGGAGCCCAGGGCAGUGAUUCUCAACUGGGAUGACUUUGGCCCCACACCCACACCCCUACCAGGGAACAAUUGGCAAUGUUCAGAGACAUUUUUAGUCGUCACAAGUAGAAAUGGGGAUGCUACUGGCAUUUAUAGAGGCCUGGGAUGCUGCUGAAUAUCCUACAAUGCACAGCACAGCCCUUCAUCACAAAGAAUGAUCCAGCCCAAAAUGUCAAUGGUGACAAGGUUGAGAAACCCUGUCAGAGGGAUUCAACCCUUUAAUGAUGGUUGAUGAUCCUCCCGGCCAGCACCUGGGUGACCAGAUAAGAUUCCACAUGUAUUUCUAGCAGAGUGUCUGUUCCUAUGGGGACUUCUCAUUGGUCGGUAGUAAGUAGUGAGACUCAUGAAACCCAUGCUCAGCAGGUCUCGCUUGGUGGAAGAGGUUGGACUUUAGGAGUCCUCAGGAUGAUGGAGGGGAAAGCUGCAGGGAGCUGGAGUGGGGCUGGGUCCCACGUCCAGGUUUGUGGAAGGAGCGGUUUGGUGUGGGACAAACCAAAGAAGAGUUUGAUAGAAAGUAAGUGAUCCUGUAAGUUGGGGGAGGGGAGCACCUGGCAACUUGGUGGCAGGUGGGGAGCUCCUUACUAGUGCACAGAUGGCUUCGUGUGCUCCGGCCUCUGCUGUCACUCUUGCUGACAGUGUGAUGCUCUGUGAAGCCUCCUAUCCCCUUGGCAGGAGAAGGGCUUCCACCACUCCGGGUACUCCCUCUCAUGGCCUCUUCUUUUGACUCUGCUUUCUACAUGGACCUACGGGAAAGCAGUGACGUGCUGUUCCCCAGGAAGUCCCUGCGCAGCUCUCGGCUAGUGAGGUAUAUUUGGAAAUGAGGUCCUAGACGGUGACCAAAUCCUUUUCCAAAAUUAUGCCACCUUCCUAAGACCAUUCCAGUUAAAACCAGGAAAUAGAUGGGAUUGCCUGCCAUCAAUAAGAUUGCU